UGCCAUGACUCAGGCUCAUACUC
rnacentral:siRNA from 1 species